GGGGAGGUCGCAUAGAGGCCGAGUGCGAGGGUUUGCUAAACCCUUACAGGGGGUUUCUCCUGUCGCGGGUUCGAAUCCCGCCCUCCCCGCAA
rnacentral:tRNA from 1 species